rnacentral:rRNA from 1 species
AUUGAACGCUGGCGGCAUGCCUUACACAUGCAAGUCGAACGGUAACGGGCCUUCGGUUGCCGACGAGUGGCGAACGCGUGAGUAAUUCAUCUGAACGUUCCCGAUCGUGGUGGAUAACGAGUCGUAAGCUUUGCUAAUAUCACAUACGAUCUACGUAUGGUAACAAGGGCCCGCUACGCCUUGCGCGGGCUGUGCGUCCGAUGGCCGAUAGGUAGUUGGUGGGAUAAAAGCUUACCAAGCCGACUAUCUGUCGCUGGUGUGAGAGGAUGAUCAGCCACACUGGGACGGAGACACGGCACAGACUCCUACGGGAGGCAGCAGUGGGGAAUGUUGGAGAAUGGGCGCAAGACUGAUCAAGCCAUGCCGAGUGCAGGAUGAAGGCCUUCGGGUUGUAAAAUGCUUUUGUACGGAACGAAAAGCCUUCUUUUAAUACAGGAGGGUAAUGACGGUACCGAAAGAAUAAGCACCGGCUAACUACGUG